GCCUUCAUGGUGUAGUUGGUUAUCACGUGAGUCUCAUAAUCUCGAGGUCACCAGUUCGAUCCUGGUUGAGGGCA
rnacentral:tRNA from 1 species